rnacentral:rRNA from 1 species
GGGUUGUGAGGUUAAGCGACUAAGCGUACACGGUGGAUGCCCUGGCAGUCAGAGGCGAUGAAGGACGUGCUAAUCUGCGAAAAGCGCCGGCGAGGUGAUAUGAACCCUUGACCCGGCGAUGUCCGAAUGGGGAAACCCAGUGUGAUUCGUCACACUAUCGUUAACUGAAUACAUAGGUUAACGAGGCGAACCGGGGGAACUGAAACAUCUAAGUACCCCGAGGAAAAGAAAUCAACCGAGAUUCCCCCAGUAGCGGCGAGCGAACGGGGAGCAGCCCAGAGUCUGAAUCAGCUUGUGUGUUAGUGGAAGCGUCUGGAAAGUCGCACGGUACAGGGUGAAAGUCCCGUACACGAAAGCACACAGGCUGUGAACUCGAAGAGUAGGGCGGGACACGUGGUAUCCUGUCUGAAUAUGGGGGGACCAUCCUCCAAGGCUAAAUACUCCUGACUGACCGAUAGUGAACCAGUACCGUGAGGGAAAGGCGAAAAGAACCCCGGCGAGGGGAGUGAAAAAGAACCUGAAACCGUGUACGUACAAGCAGUGGGAGCACCUUCGUGGUGUGACUGCGUACCUUUUGUAUAAUGGGUCAGCGACUUAUAUUCUGUAGCAAGGUUAACCGUAUAGGGGAGCCGAAGGGAAACCGAGUCUUAACUGGGCGUUAAGUUGCAGGGUAUAGACCCGAAACCCGGUGAUCUAGCCAUGGGCAGGUUGAAGGUUGGGUAACACUAACUGGAGGACCGAACCGACUAAUGUUGAAAAAUUAGCGGAUGACCUGUGGCUGGGGGUGAAAGGCCAAUCAAACCGGGAGAUAGCUGGUUCUCCCCGAAAGCUAUUUAGGUAGCGCCUCGUGAACUCAUCUUCGGGGGUAGAGCACUGUUUCGGCUAGGGGGCCAUCCCGGCUUACCAACCCGAUGCAAACUACGAAUACCGAAGAAUGUUAUCACGGGAGACACACGGCGGGUGCUAACGUCCGUCGUGAAGAGGGAAACAACCCAGACCGCCAGCUAAGGUCCCAAAGUCAUGGUUAAGUGGGAAACGAUGUGGGAAGGCCCAGACAGCCAGGAUGUUGGCUUAGAAGCAGCCAUCAUUUAAAGAAAGCGUAAUAGCUCACUGGUCGAGUCGGCCUGCGCGGAAGAUGUAACGGGGCUAAACCAUGCACCGAAGCUGCGGCAGCGACGCUUAUGCGUUGUUGGGUAGGGGAGCGUUCUGUAAGCCGUUGAAGGUGGCCUGUGAGGGUUGCUGGAGGUAUCAGAAGUGCGAAUGCUGACAUAAGUAACGAUAAAGCGGGUGAAAAGCCCGCUCGCCGGAAGACCAAGGGUUCCUGUCCAACGUUAAUCGGGGCAGGGUGAGUCGACCCCUAAGGCGAGGCCGAAAGGCGUAGUCGAUGGGAAACAGGUUAAUAUUCCUGUACUUGGUGUUACUGCGAAGGGGGGACGGAGAAGGCUAUGUUAGCCGGGCGACGGUUGUCCCGGUUUAAGCAUGUAGGCGGAGGUUCCAGGUAAAUCCGGUACCUUUUAACGCUGAGGUGUGAUGACGAGGCACUACGGUGCUGAAGUAACAAAUGCCCUGCUUCCAGGAAAAGCCUCUAAGCAUCAGGUAACACGAAAUCGUACCCCAAACCGACACAGGUGGUCAGGUAGAGAAUACCAAGGCGCUUGAGAGAACUCGGGUGAAGGAACUAGGCAAAAUGGUGCCGUAACUUCGGGAGAAGGCACGCUGAUAUGUAGGUGAAGCCCCUGCGGGUGGAGCUGAAAUCAGUCGAAGAUACCAGCUGGCUGCAACUGUUUAUUAAAAACACAGCACUGUGCAAACACGAAAGUGGACGUAUACGGUGUGACGCCUGCCCGGUGCCGGAAGGUUAAUUGAUGGGGUUAGCGGCAACGCGAAGCUCUUGAUCGAAGCCCCGGUAAACGGCGGCCGUAACUAUAACGGUCCUAAGGUAGCGAAAUUCCUUGUCGGGUAAGUUCCGACCUGCACGAAUGGCGUAAUGAUGGCCAGGCUGUCUCCACCCGAGACUCAGUGAAAUUGAACUCGCUGUGAAGAUGCAGUGUACCCGCGGCAAGACGGAAAGACCCCGUGAACCUUUACUAUAGCUUGACACUGAACACUGGUCCUUGAUGUGUAGGAUAGGUGGGAGGCUUUGAAGCGUGGACGCCAGUCUGCGUGGAGCCGUCCUUGAAAUACCACCCUUUAAUGGCUGGUGUUCUAACGUAGACCCGUAAUCCGGGUUGCGGACAGUGUCUGGUGGGUAGUUUGACUGGGGCGGUCUCCUCCCAAAGAGUAACGGAGGAGCACGAAGGUUAGCUAAUCCUGGUCGGACAUCAGGAGGUUAGUGCAAUGGCAUAAGCUAGCUUGACUGCGAGAGUGACGGCUCGAGCAGGUGCGAAAGCAGGUCAUAGUGAUCCGGUGGUUCUGAAUGGAAGGGCCAUCGCUCAACGGAUAAAAGGUACUCCGGGGAUAACAGGCUGAUACCGCCCAAGAGUUCAUAUCGACGGCGGUGUUUGGCACCUCGAUGUCGGCUCAUCACAUCCUGGGGCUGAAGUAGGUCCCAAGGGUAUGGCUGUUCGCCAUUUAAAGUGGUACGCGAGCUGGGUUUAGAACGUCGUGAGACAGUUCGGUCCCUAUCUGCCGUGGGCGCUGGAGAAUUGAGGGGGGCUGCUCCUAGUACGAGAGGACCGGAGUGGACGCAUCACUGGUGUUCGGGUUGUCAUGCCAAUGGCACUGCCCGGUAGCUAAAUGCGGAAGAGAUAAGUGCUGAAAGCAUCUAAGCACGAAACUUGCCCCGAGAUGAGUUCUCCCUGAGACUUAAAGUCUCCUGAAGGAACGUUGAAGACGACGACGUUGAUAGGUCGGGUGUGUAAGCGCAGCGAUGCGUUGAGCUAACCGAUACUAAUGAACCGUGAGGCUUAACCUUACAACGCCGAAGGUGUUU